AUCUAUGGCCAUGCUACCCUGAACAAGCCCGAUACCAUCUGAUCUUGGAAACUAAGCAGGGUCAGGCCUCGUUAGUACUUGGAUGGGAGAUCACCUAGGAAGACCAGGUGCUGUAGGCG
rnacentral:rRNA from 1 species